rnacentral:snRNA from 1 species
AGCUUUGUGCAGUGGGUGUAUCAUAGCCAAUGAGGUUUAUCCAAGGCACGAUUAUUGCUAAUUGAAAAUACAUACAAAAGAUAGAUAUAUUCCAAUCUGAAUUGUCAAUCAAAAUUAUUAAUUAUAUAUAAAUUAAUGUUAAUCUACCUUGAGA